rnacentral:lncRNA from 1 species
GUGCAGCAUGGGGAGGAGGGGGAGUGUGAGUAUAGGCUGAAGUCAGUGAGUGAGUCUUUUAAUAAGCGUUUGCUAUUGAGUUUAUGGAAGCAGCCUUAUGUCUGCAGCAGUCUGCCCAGGCCCAUGGAAAUGCAGCAUCAUUUCUCCAGGGGUAUAACAGAUCCACCCCACCCCACAAAAAAAGCUUGCUCAUGGCUUUGAGGAAGCUGACAUGCCUGUAAGGAGGGGGAGGUAAGAGAGAGGUCAUUCCAAAGGACGGCAUGGGAGCUCUCACAGCCCACCUGCAGCAUGCAGAUCUCCAGAAUGUGAGUAGAAUCCUGACAUUAAGGGGGUUCACUUAUUAUAACCAGAAAUACUUCACAUCAUGUGCCUGUAUUCUAACACGUGUUCCCAAGGGCAACAAUGCAGCUUUUAUCAAAUGCAUACUUAGAUCUGCAGUGCCCACGUGUUAUAUAUGUGCUACUGGUCAUUAUCCUUCACUGUCUUCUGUAUUACUAAUUAUUUUUUAUUUUCCAUUUUUAAUGCACUGGAAGGAGUUUAAAAUAUUACAAUUUGUGAUUGCCAGAUGUCUUCUGUAAAUAGUACCUAACCUGUGACUCUUUUUUUUUUUAAUUAACUGUCUAAAAUGUGUGGUCCCAUCUUUUUAUGACCUUGAGCGAUCUAUUUUUAUGGUUUUGUCCUCCCCAGCAUCUACAUAUAGAUUGUAAGCUCUUGUUACAAAGCAUUUGCAUCUAUGGCCGCCAUUAACUGUGCAGAAUAUUCUCAGUAGUAGAUUGCAGUUUUGUUUAGUAUGCAUUUGAUUUCUAAUUUUAUAGCUGGUUUUUUUCUUUCUUUUUUUUUUUUUUCUUUUCGUUUUUUUGUAAGUCACGUUAGUGUGUGCGCGCCAAUAUCGUGAUGUGUAUGUAUAAUGUGCAUGGGGAAAUCAAGCUGAUACAGUAUUUGCUUUACUUGUUAUUAUGUGUUGCAUAUAUGUACACUGAUAAUGCCAUUCGUUAUUGAUGGUGCUUUUCUUACAUGAUUGCUGUUAUAAACAGUACUUUGGGUAUCUAAUUGUUUGCAACUAAUACACAUGCUUUUAUUAAUCCUAUGCACUUCACAGGCCUGGGCUGCUGCAGAAGCAUCUGAUGGGUGAACGCGUGGCAGAGCAAGCGACAACCUAACUCUGCUGCAUCACGCCCUCCUGCAUCUAUUGGCUGGGAAAUUGGAGUUUGAAGGAGAAGAACCCUGUAAUUGGUUGCCUGGGCUGUCUGACAAAACACCUUUUCCCCUUGCAGUAAGAGUGGCUGAGCCACAGUGGGGAGCGCACUUAACCCUUCGUUUUCCAUAAAGAAACUGCGACGCCAUUAAUCAUCGCAUCUAAAGAGAAUCGGCGUUCUUAAUGAAAAACAUUUUGUUUCUUUCUCAGUUUGCAAACAAGUAAAAAAAGCUGCAUUGUUUUAUAUUAUGUAUUUUUUCAGUCUCCCUCUUGAUAUACAUUAAGGCGGUAUUUACUUUAACACGUCUCUGAUAAAUCAUUCCUGAAAUGCAGGACAGACUAAACUGUGACUUUGCAGAGGGGCCUGGGAACUAAUGUCUUCUCAUAUUAAAC